CUGGUUGAUUCCUGCCAGUAGUCCCAUAUGCUUGUCUCAAAGAUUAAGCAUGCAUGUGUAACGUAUGAACUAAUUCAGCAGCCUGGAACUGCGAUGGGCUCAUUAAAUCAUUAUAGUUUGUUUGAUGGUAUCUCUACUGACGGGAUAACCGUAGUAAAAUUCUAGAGCGUAAUACGUGCAACAAACCCCGACUUCUGGAAGGGAUGCUUUAUUAGAUAAAAGGUCGACCGCGGGCUCUGCCCGUUGCUCUGAUGAUUCAUGAUAACUCGACGGAUCGCAAACGCCAAUUGCGUGCCGGUCGAGCAUCAUUCAAAUGUCGCCCAUCAACUUUCGAUGGUAGGGAGAGAGUACCAUGGUGGUGACGGGUGACGGAGAAUUAGGGUUGCGAUUCUGGAGAGGGAGCCUGAGAAACACGGCUAAACCACAUCCAAGGAAGGCAGCAAGGCGCGCAAAUUAAACCCAAUUCCUGACACAUCGGGGUGAGGUAGUCGACAAUAAAAGACAAAUACCGGCUCUUCGGAAUCUGGUAAAUUGGAAUGAGUACAGAUCUAAAUCCCUUAAACGAGGAUCCAUUGAGGGGCAAGUCUGGUGCCAGCAGCCCGCGGUAUGUCCAGCUCCAAUAGCGUAUAUUUAAGUUGUUGCAGUUAAAAAGCUCGUAGUUGGACCUUGGGUUGGGUCGACGUCCGCCUCAGCGGUGUGGCACCUGUGGCUCGUCCUUCUGCGGCGAUGCGGCUCCUGGCCUUAACUGGCCGGGUCGUGCUCCCGGCGCUGUACUUUGAAGAAAUUAGAGUGCUCAAAGCAGCCUACGCUCUGAUACAUAGCAUGGAUACAUAUAGGCAUUUGGUCUAUUGUGUUGGCCUUCGAGGGAUCGGAAGUAAUGAUUAACAGGGAGCCAGUCGGGGUGGCCAUUCGUAUUUCAACUAGUCAGAGGUGAAAUUCUUGGAAUUUAUGAAAGACGAACAACUGCCGAAAGCAUUUUGCCAAGGUAUGUUUUCAUUAUCAACGAACGCAAAGUUGGGGGUCGACAGACGAUCAGGAUACGUCCUAGAGUCUCACCAUAAACGAUGCCGACCCAGGGAUCGGCGAUGUUGCUUUUAGGACCCGCCGCAGCCUUAUGCAGAAAUCAAAAGUCUUUGGGUUCCGGGGGAGUAUGGUCGGCAGAGGCGAAACUUAAAGGGAAUUGGACGAAGGGCACCACUAGGGAGUGGAGGCCUGCGGCUUAAUUUUGACUCCAACACGGGGAAACUUACCAGGUCCAGACAUAGUUAAGGAUUGACAGACUGAGAGCUCUUUCUUGAUUCUAUGGGUGGUGGUGGCAUGGCCGUUCUUAGUUGGUAGGAGGCGAUUUGUCUGGUUUAAUUCCGUUUAACGAACGAGACUCAGCCUGCUAACUAGCUAUGGCGGGAGGUGACCCUCGGGCCAGCUUCUUAGAAGGGACUAAUGGCCUUUUAGGCCAAGGAAGUUUGAGGCAAUAACAGGUCUGUGAUGCCCUUAGAUGUUCUGGCCGCACGCGCCGCUACAGCCUGAUGUAUUCAACAGUCUAUAGCCGUGGCCGAGCAGGCCCCGGGUAAAAUCUUUGAAAUUUAUCGUGAUGGGGAUAAGAUCAUUUGCAAUUGUUGGUCUUCACGAGGAAUUCCUAGUAAGCGCGAGUCAUCCCGCUCGCGUUGACUACGUCCCUGCCCUUUGUACAGACACGCCCAGUCGUCUAACCGAUUGAAUGGUCGCGGUGAAGUGUUCGGAUCGCGAACGACGUGGCGGUUCGCCGGCCGCGAACGUCGGCGAGAAAGUCCACCUGAACCUUAUCAUUAAGCGAAGGCAGUAUUCGUAACAGGUUUCCGUAGUGAACCCUGCGGAAG
rnacentral:rRNA from 1 species